CGCUACUUACCUUAGUUUCAAUCUCAAUGUUUGUAUGGCACGCUCACAUAUUUUUGGGGCCAAAAGAAAACACGAGGAACUUGGAAAGCAUAUAUACACAUCAACAAUUUUGAUCGAAGUCUCCAUAUACGUAUAGCUUUACAGCUUUUUCAGCCUCGUAUAAUGAGUUGUGUUCUUUGUAUUUCUUUACUGGUUGUGUGUGCUAUCACUUUUAAUUAGGACUAUAUUUUCGUACCCGUUCCCAAUCAAAUUAAUAAGCAAAUAUGUAAUUACUGAUAAAGUAGUCUGAGAUUCAUAUUUAAAACCAAUUAACUGUGUAAGACGUGCUCCAAACCAUUAUAAAUUCACAUGCAAGGUUUUAUAUUAGGGAAAAUGCCCAAAUGCACAAAAAUAGGGAUUUUAAUACCCACUUCAAUGUAAAUCUUUUCUUUUAGCCCAUUUCAAUGAUUUUUAAUAAAAUUACGAGUAUACCCUGUAUUGAUAAUUAAACUCUUCUCUCUCUAAUCAAAUCUCAUAUCUCUCAUUCUCUCUCUCUCUCUCUCUCUCUCUCUCUCUCU
rnacentral:lncRNA from 1 species